AAUGAACGCUGGCGGCGCGCCUAAUACAUGCAAGUCGAGCGAGAAGACGUAGCAAUACGUUUGUAAAGCGGCGAACGGGUGAGGAAUACAUGGGUAACCUACCCUCGAGUGGGGAAUAACUAGCCGAAAGGUUAGCUAAUACCGCGUACGCUCCUUGGACUUCGGUUCAGGGAGGAAAGCGAUACCGUGGGUAUCGCGCUCUUGGUUGGGCUCAUGUCCUAUCAGCUUGUUGGUGAGGUAACGGCUCACCAAGGCUUCGACGGGUAGCUGGUCUGAGAGGACGAUCAGCCACACUGGCACUGCGACACGGGCCAGACUCCUACGGGAGGCAGCAGUAAGGAAUAUUGCGCAAUGGGCGAAAGCCUGACGCAGCGACGCCGCGUGGGGGAGUGAAGUACUUCGGA
rnacentral:rRNA from 1 species